GAUGAACGCUGGCGGCGUGCCUAAUACAUGCAAGUCGAGCGAACAGACGAGGAGCUUGCUCCUCUGACGUUAGCGGCGGACGGGUGAGUAACACGUGGAUAACCUGCCUAUAAGACUGGGAUAACUUCGGGAAACCGGAGCUAAUACCGGAUAAUAUAUUGAACCGCAUGGUUCAAUAGUGAAAGACGGUUUUGCUGUCACUUAUAGAUGGAUCCGCGCUGCAUUAGCUAGUUGUUAAGGUAACGGCUUACGAAGGCUACGAGGCGUAGCCGAACUGAGAGGGUGAUCGCCCACACUGGAACUGAGACACGGUCCAGACUCCUACGGGAGGCAGCAGUAGGGAAUCUUCCGCAAUGGGCGAAAGCCUGACGGAGCAACGCCGCGUGAGUGAUGAAGGUCUUCGGAUCGUAAAACUCUGUUAUUAGGGAAGAACAAAUGUGUAAGUAACUAUGCACGUAUUGACGGUACCUAAUCAGAAAGCCACGGCUAACUACGUG
rnacentral:rRNA from 1 species